rnacentral:rRNA from 1 species
AGUGAACGCUGGCGGUAGGCCUAACACAUGCAAGUCGAACGGCAGCACAGGAGAGCUUGCUCUCUGGGUGGCGAGUGGCGGACGGGUGAGGAAUACAUCGGAAUCUACUCUGUCGUGGGGGAUAACGUAGGGAAACUUACGCUAAUACCGCAUACGACCUACGGGUGAAAGCAGGGGACCUUCGGGCCUUGCGCGAUUGAAUGAGCCGAUGUCGGAUUAGCUAGUUGGCGGGGUAAAGGCCCACCAAGGCGACGAUCCGUAGCUGGUCUGAGAGGAUAGUCAGCCACCCUGGAGCUGGGAAACGGUCCAGACUCCUACGGGAGGAAGCAGUGGGGAAUAUUGGACAAUGGGCGCAAGCCUGAUCCAGCCAUACCGCGUGGGUGAAGAAGGCCUUCGGGUUGUAAAGCCCUUUUGUUGGGAAAGAAAUCCAGCUGGCUAAUACCCGGUUGGGAUGACGGUACCCAAAGAAUAAGCACCGGCUAACUUCGUGCCAGCAGCCGCCGCCG